GGCUUUAGAAACGCAACACUCAUUUGUAGAUUUUUUUUCACCAACUCAUGUUUGAUCAUCAUACAACUACUAUUCAUGCUUAUCAUAAUUCUUUCUCUUUCGAAAAAAUCAACAUCUGACUUACCUAUGGUUAUUAAACCUACCGGAUUAUUGAGAUCGCACGAAUUCCAGAAAGCGAAAUUUCAAGUCAAUAAAAGUUUUUUUUU
rnacentral:lncRNA from 1 species